rnacentral:rRNA from 1 species
AUGCCUACGGGGGGCAGCAGUGGGGAAUAUUGGGCAAUGGGCGCAAGCCUGACCCAGCAACGCCGCGUGAAGGAAGAAGGCUUUCGGGUUGUAAACUUCUUUUAUGAGGGACGAAAGAAAUGACGGUACCUCAUGAAUAAGCCACGGCUAACUACGUGCCAGCAGCCGCGGUAAUACGUAGGUGGCAAGCGUUAUCCGGAUUUACUGGGUGUAAAGGUCGUGUAGGCGGGAAUGCAAGUCAGGUGUUCAAAUUAU